rnacentral:rRNA from 1 species
GACGAACGCUGGCGGCGUGCUUAACACAUGCAAGUCGAACGCUGAACCCGCUUCGGUGGGGGAUGAGUGGCGAACGGGUGAGUAACACGUGGGCAACCUGCCCCCGGCUCUGGGAUAACUCCAAGAAAUUGGGGCUAAUACCGGAUGUGACCGCUGGCCGCAUGGUCUGGUGGUGGAAAGGGUUUCCGGCUGGGGAUGGGCCCGCGGCCUAUCAGCUUGUUGGUGGGGUAGUGGCCUACCAAGGCGACGACGGGUAGCCGGCCUGAGAGGGUGACCGGCCACACUGGGACUGAGACACGGCCCAGACUCCUACGGGAGGCAGCAGUGGGGAAUAUUGCGCAAUGGGCGGAAGCCUGACGCAGCGACGCCGCGUGGGGAUGACGGCCUUCGGGUUGUAAACCUCUUUCAGCAGGGACGAAGCGCAAGUGACGGUACCUGCAGAAGAAGCACCGGCCAACUACGUG